UACGAGGGGUGCAAGCGUUACUCGGAAUUACUGGGCGUAAAGCGUGCGUAGGUGGUUGUUUAAGUCUGUCGUGAAAGCCCUGGGCUCAACCUGGGAAUUGCGAUGGAUACUGGGCGACUAGAGUGUUGUAGAGGGUGGCGGAAUUCCCGGUGUAGCAGUGAAAUGCGUAGAGAUCGGGAGGAACAUCCGUGGCGAAGGCGGCCACCUGGGCCAACACUGACACUGAGGCACGAAAGCGUGGGGAGCAAACAGG
rnacentral:rRNA from 1 species